AUGGCCUUCCGAACCCUACCAGUUAACCUCCAGUUAAUAGCUCUCCUCUUGUCGCUUGCCCUCGCGGCCGAUAACACCUCCAUAAACUCUGGCCUCAUCCUCUUAAAUUGCGGAGGAUCAGGCCAAUAUGAUGAUGUAGAUAGUGGUGGUCGUAUUUGGUACGGGGACACCGGCUCCAAGUUCGCACCAUCGGUGGAAGGAGUUGGAGCCAGUGCCAGUGCUUCAUACCAAGAUCCUUCCCUCCCAUCCAUGAUCCCUUAUAUGACUGCACGCAUCUUCUCUUCAAAUUACACAUAUUCCUUCCCUGUUAGUCAAGGUCGCUUGUUCUUACGCCUCUACUUCUAUCCGGUUGCUUAUGGAAACUAUGCCGUCUCCGAUGCCUUUUUUGGUGUCACUACAGAAAAUCUUGUCCUCUUAAAUGGCUUCAAUGCUUCACAAACAGCCCAGGCAAACAAUUAUGCCUACCUUGUCCGUGAGUUCUCGAUGAAUGUAUCUUCACGCAGAUUGGACCUCACAUUUUCCCCAUCAACAUUUUUGAAUGGUUCAUAUGCAUUUAUCAAUGGCAUUGAGAUUGUGCCCACACCUAACAUCUUCACAACAGCCGACACAACAUUUGUCUACGGUGAUUACAUAGCUCCAUUCUCAUUCGCCGCUGACAAAGGCUUCCAGACCAUGUACCAGCUCAAUGUUGGGGGCCAAGCCAUUUCCCCGAAAGAUGACACGGGCUUUUACCGCUCAUGGGACGUUGAUUCCCCGUACAUAUAUGGUGCCGGCUAUGGGGUGACCCACUCCAAAGAUCCUAGUGUGACUAUCAUGUAUACACCCACAGUGCCGAAUUACACAGCGCCAGUUGAUGUCUAUGGUACAGCUCGGUCGAUGGGGCCAGUUCAACAGUUCAACCUCAACUACAACCUUACAUGGAUUUUGCCGGUUGAUGCUGGGUUCACCUACCUCCUAAGGUUCCAUUUCUGUGAGAUUCAGUCAACUUUUACCAAGGUCAAUCAGAGGUCGUUCUACAUCUACAUCAACAACCAGACAGCGCAGGAGGAUAUGGAUGUAAUCUUGUUGAGCGGAGGAACAGGUACAACAGCAUAUAGGGAAUAUUUUAUCAUGGCUAGUGGUUUUGGUCAAGUGGACAUGUGGAUUGCACUUUCCCCUGAUAUUUCAACUAAUCCACAAUAUUAUGAUGCAAUACUGAAUGGCCUUGAGGUCUUCAAGCUACAAGAUUCCAGCCGAAAUCUUGCUGGGCUCAAUCCUCCUACUCUACAAAAUCCUGACAUUGAUCCUAAUAGGCUAUCUAGCGGUACAAGAAAAUCCAAAGGCGACAUACCAGCAAGAGCAACCAUCAUCGGUGGUGGUGUUGCUGUGCUUUUGAUUACCUUUUUUAGCACAUGUGUUAUCUACAGAUGGAAUAAGGUAGCGAAGAGUUGUCACAAGACCGACUGUGGACCAAAUGGACGCCUGAAGAGUCGUCACUUCUCAUUAGCAGAAAUUCAACUUGCCACCAAUAAUUUUGAUCAAGCACUGAUCAUCGGCAGAGGCGGUUUCGGGAAUGUCUACAGCGGCGAGAUAGAUGGAGGGAUAAAGGUGGCGAUCAAGCGACUCAAGCAGGGAUCCCAGCAAGGCUUUCAUGAGUUCCACACUGAAAUUGGGAUGUUGUGCAAUUUCCGCCAUGGUCACCUUGUAUCUUUGAUUGGCUACUGCAAGGACAAGAAUGAGAUGAUUUUGGUGUAUGACUACAUGCCUCACGGAACACUACGUGAUCAUCUCUACGGAACCAGAAACCCAUCACUGUCGUGGAAGCAGCGCCUUAAUAUUUGCAUCGGUGCAGCCCGAGGGCUGCAUUACCUCCACACUGGCACAGAGCAAGGAAUCAUCCACCGUGACGUUAAGACGACCAACAUCCUACUGGAUGAUAGGUUAAUGGCCAAGGUUUCUGAUUUUGGUCUAUCUAAGGCAUGUACAGAUAGUGACAAGGCGCAUGUGAGCACCGCAGUAAAAGGGUCCUUUGGAUAUUUUGAUCCGGAGUACUUCUUGCUGCGGCGUCUCACCAAAAAAUCAGAUGUGUACUCCUUCGGGGUUGUGUUGUUUGAGAUCCUGUGUGCGCGCCCUGUGAUAAACACCGAGCUCCCGGACGAGCAAGUGAGCUUGCGUGACUGGGCGCUAUCUUGCCAGGACACAGGUGUACUCAAGCAGAUUGUUGACCCCUGCAUUAAGGAGGAAAUCACCCCUGAGUGCUUCAGGAUAUUUUCAGAGCUAGCGGUGAAAUGUGUUUCUGAUCGUAGCAUAGAUAGGCCAUCAAUGGGUGAUGUGCUUCAGAAUCUUGAGGCCGCACUGAGGCUGCAGGACAAUAGAAGCUGUGCCGGGGAUCCAUCAUCUCUUCAGGUCAUCGGUCUAGUGCAUUCAGACAAAGCAUCGACACACUCAGUACUUAGCGUCGCUGCACAGGAAGAGAUAUUCUCAGAUAUUAUACAUCUGGAAGGCCGGUAA
rnacentral:rRNA from 1 species